UACGAAGGGGGCUAGCGUUGCUCGGAUUUACUGGGCGUAAAGGGCGCGUAGGCGGAUGUUUAAGUCGGGGGUGAAAGCCCGGGGCUCAACCUCGGAAUUGCCUUCGAUACUGGACAUCUUGAGUACGGGAGAGGUGAGUGGAACUCCGAGUGUAGAGGUGAAAUUCGUAGAUAUUCGCAGGAACACCAGUGGCGAAGGCGGCUCACUGGCUCGAUACUGACGCUGAGGUGCGAAAGCGUGGGGAGCAAACAGG
rnacentral:rRNA from 1 species